UGAGGGUCCUACAGCGAUAAAAAUGUCC
rnacentral:piRNA from 1 species